rnacentral:rRNA from 1 species
UGAGGAAUAUUGGUCAAUGGGCGGAAGCCUGAACCAGCCAAGUAGCGUGCAGGAUGACGGCCCUAUGGGUUGUAAACUGCUUUUUCGCGGGGAUAAAGAGGGGGACGUGUCCCCCGCUGCAGGUACCGCGUGAAUAAGGACCGGCUAAUUCCGUGCCAGCAGCCGCGGUAAUACGGAAGGUCCGGGCGUUAUCCGGAUUUAUUGGGUUUAAAGGGAGCGCAGGCCGUAUGGUAAGCGUGUUGUGAAAUGCCGUGGCUCAACCAUGGCACUGCAGCGCGAACUGGUUUUCUUGAGUGCGCGCGACGCAGGCGGAAUUCGUGGUGUAGCGGUGAAAUGCUUAGAUAUCACGAGGAACCCCGAUUGCGAAGGCAGCUUGCGGGAGCGCAACUGACGCUGAAGCUCGAAGGUGCGGGUAU